rnacentral:misc_RNA from 1 species
AAGCCGUAACAAGGUUUCCGUAGGUGAACCUGCGGAAGGAUCAUUACAGAGAACAUCGCCCUCACGGGUGACUCUCCAACCCUAUGUUAUUGUACCUUUGUUGCUUUGGCGAGACGCUUCGGCCACCGGCUCACGCUGGUGAGUGCUCGCCAGAGGACCCCAAACUCUGAAUUAUUAGUGUCGUCUGAGUACUAUAUAAUAGUUAAAA